AGAAUCCUCCUUGUCUCCCUCCUCUGCCUGUUCCUCUCUUCACGCGCGCGUGCAUGUGUGCCUGUGUGUGCUUAUGUGUGCCCGUGCUUUCUCAAGCACCACGUUCCUUUGAAAAUCAAAUGCGGGAUAGACAAGCCAGAAAUCAAGGUCUCUCCGUGCCGACGGCCUGGGAAAAGACGCCAGGGAUCAAGUCCUAAUAAGAAGAAAACAGCGGAUUCUGAGUACUGUCUACUCUAAUCCAGCGACCACUUUUCCAGGAACUAGCUCCCCGGAGAUCUGCGGCGAGUCACCGGGGUGGAAAUCCGCACAGGUCACGGGCUCCAGGGGGCGCUGCGGGCAGCGAGGCAUGGCCCACCUCUGUCUCGCCCGCCUAGCCACGCCCACCACCGUCUUCUGCACCGCCACAUCCUCCGACCUCUACUCGGAGGGACCGCCCAGGAUGCUCCUUCCGGAUGUUCCCGUCCAGAUCACGACUUUUCUGAAUGCAGCGAAAGCACGCACAUCCCAGUUCCUUUUGUUGUUGUUUUUUGUUGUUGGGGUUUUUCGCCCCUCACAUUUUCUUCCUUUCUAGGUCAUUCCUCUACGCACAAGCCAUAUGUCCACGACUGCUCCCAGUGAGCACUACCUUGUGGCCCGGCGCCUCUAAACUCUGACCGAGCCACGUGGCUCCUUCUGCAUGCUCUGACGAGGUGGCCGAGUGGUUAAGGCGAUGGACUGCUAAUCCAUUGUGCUCUGCACGCGUGGGUUCGAAUCCCAUCCUCGUCGGUCUGGGUCUUUUAUUUAAGAAUGAAGAUCUAUACGUAAUUGUAAAUUCAAGUCUAGUCAGAGAUUUUACAUUUAACUAUGAACCCAAUUCUCAUUUGCUUCUAUCAGCGUGGUUUCAGCAUAUUAAGUCUUACUAUGCUCUGUUUGGCUUUUAACCAUUGUGUUUCGCUUGGUGUCACCUGUGAGCGAAGUGUCUGGAUGAUUGUUUUAAUGCACUUUCUCCUGGUGAAUUCGUUCCUGACCACCGUAAGAAAAACUAAAAAAUCGAGGUGAGAACAGAGAGAAGAGAAAGAAGGGCAAGGAAAGGAGACCCAGAUGAAGCUGAAGUCCGUUCUUUCCCUCACUCUAUUACUUUAGUUUCAUUUUUGGCAUUUUCAUUAAGUCCCUCUUUUAGAAAUCAACAUGACUACGAGCACUGAAAAAUGAAAGAUCAGAGCGCGUACACACACGAGAACCAUCAUACCAGACUGGAAUCAUUACUGCUUAGAUACUUUGUACAUAAUGAAACAUAGGCUGUAUUUUCACAUGUAUUUUGGAGGAUCUACUAAGAGUGGCUAGCAUCUUGCAAAUUCCAUUUUCUAAUCAUGCUUUCAUUUACUAUCAAUUUACCAGUCUUUAGGAUUACUAGCUCCCCUUCCUCCAAGCUGAGGAAACAUCUUGUUAGAACAAUGAAAAAGAAUGUAAGAAGAGAUGCUAAGGUGGGGGGAGGGGCUGCUGUGAAACACUGCCUAAUGGCCACAGCGUGGAUGCUCUGCAGCUGUGGUUACCCGCGCAAGAUCAAAGCGCUUAAAAAUACCAGCGCAGAGGGGGAAAGAGGCUACAGAGGCUGCAGCCCCAGCUGAUGAUUGAGUGCUGGGGAGAGUCACAUUUUGUUGAAUGGGAGGGGCCACUAGCGUAUGACCCACAACCACGUGUAUAUAGGGAACAAAUUAGAUCAAAGAUUAAAGAAAUUUAAAAAAAUGAUUUUUUAAAUCAUGAAGAUGAAAGGCACAUGUAUGGGGAGGGCGUUUCUGAGAAGAUUUAGAUGGGGUAGUGAGAUCAAAAUACAUUGUAUGCAUGUUUGAAAAUUUCAAAAUAUACAUAGUUUGAGAAAACUGAAAAAUUAUUAAAUAAUCAUAAACUUAAAAAAUACACUGAAAUGUAUGCUAAUAUAAAAUAGCCAUGUAAUUAUC
rnacentral:lncRNA from 1 species